rnacentral:lncRNA from 1 species
GUCAACUAUUUAAUUACAAUCCAAAUUUAGAGCUGAAUCCAGCUUGAAUGUUGUGUCCAUACUUGCCCACCGUUCAGGGUUCAACCUCUGCGGUCGUAUAAAGCUGCGCCCUGUGGAGCAUCUGGUUUGAGUUCUAAAAAAAACAAGACUUCACUUAUAUCUUUUGUUGUUCCUAGAAUACUUUAAGUAUUUACAAAUUCAACUGAUGCAGUUAUAACGUAAAACGUGCCCUUUUGUAAAUUUCAUGCCAUAAAUUGAAAAAUAAAAACACAUUUAAACUGGUCUUGUUUACACAAGAGGUGAAAGCAGGGAAUUCACGUAUCCAACAUUUUCUGACUUGUGCCCAACCUGUUCGAAGUCGAAGACAAAGUAGAUUGAUUUCAAAGCACGAUUCAGACCAUUUUUACUCAAAGAUUUUAUCCUUUAAACAGGAACAGAGGUAAAAGACAAAGCCAAUCAAGGUGCACUCAGUGGGUUGAAAGAUGCUUCAGAUUUUUUAUUUUCAAACAUCACCCUUGCACACAACACAAAUCGUGUAGCAAGGCAGUUUAUUUUCCUUGAUUCCGAAUCAUAUAGACGCUUCAAUGCAAAAAUGCCUUGAUUUAAAACGCUUGUUGAUUACAGCAUCGGAAAGGAUAUGACAAAAAACCAACGCACGUUUACUACAGCAUCGGAAAGAUAUCACCAAAAACCAACAUAGCAAAACAAAAAAUUUUGGACAAGAAUGGGCAAUAAAAUUUUUCAAGUCACGGUGA